UUCAAAUACCAGUACAUCAAGUUAGGAUGCAGAUUCUCGAGCCCACGUGCUGUUUGUCCUUCCGAAAGAAGAUUGUUCUGGGAUUGAGUUUCUACAGGCUGCAGACUUUGCACCCAAUCAUCCAUUCUUGGGUUAGGCAUAGAAGUUGAAGUUACAGAAUUUUCUAUCUGACUCUCUGAUGUACCCACACACUGUGUUGAUCAAACAUUAUCCUUCAUAGCAUUAUCCGCACAGUCAGGAAUUGCCUGGGGAAGGCGAGUUUUUGAGCCCUGGUGCUCAUUCA